AUUUAGGUACUAUGAAAAUAACCGUUUUUUUUUUUUUUUUUCUUUAUCCUAUGCCAUAGCCACUCAUCAUUUCUCUUCCUCCAAGUAUACUGGAAGGAUUGCACUAGGAAAUCAUGCAGUGCAACAGCUCCUGCUGAGGGGAAGGAGCCGGCCAUUUUGUUUUUAUCAACAUGUCAGCAAAAUGGUAAAAAGAGGAAAUGAUAGAAGACUGCCCCUUGGAAGCUCUACCCAGUAUCCUGGCACCUUGUCAUUCAUAACUCACUCUGUGUGGGUUCUCUGUGUCCUAUAUUAAUGUCCUUAAUUUGCACAAUUUAUCCUGAUGUCUUAUGAGGAUGAAAGGAGGAACAGGGAAAA